rnacentral:rRNA from 1 species
UGAACGCUGGCGGCGUGCUUAACACAUGCAAGUCGAACGAUGAAGCUACUGCUUGCAGUAGCGGAUUAGUGGCGCACGGGUGAGUAAUAUAUAGAUAAUGUGCCUCUUAGUCUGGGAUAGCCAUUGGAAACGAUGAUUAAUACUAGAUACUCCUUCUCAUUCUAAUAUGAGUUGGGAAAGUUUUUCGCUAAGAGAUCAGUCUAUAUCCCAUCAGCUUGUUGGUAGUGUAAGAGACUACCAAGGCAAUGACGGGUAGCGGGUUUGAGAGGAUGAUCCGCCACACUGGUACUGAGACACGGACCAGACUCCUACGGGAGGCAGCAGUGAGGAAUAUUGCACAAUGGGGGAAACCCUGAUGCAGCAACGCCGCGUGGAGGAUGACGCAUUUCGGUGUGUAAACUCCUUUUAUGAGUCAAGAAAAUGACGGUAGCUCAUGAAUAAGCACCGGCUAACUCC